rnacentral:rRNA from 1 species
AUACGAAGGGGGCGAGCGUUGUUCGGAUUUACUGGGCGUAAAGGGCGCGCAGGCGGCUCAUUUUGUCAGGCGUGAAAGCCCCGGGCUUAACCUGGGAACUGCGUUUGAUACGGAUGGGCUAGAGUUCGGGAGAGGAGAGUGGAAUUCCCAGUGUAGAGGUGAAAUUCGUAGAUAUUGGGAAGAACACCGGUGGCGAAGGCGGCUCUCUGGACCGAGACUGACGCUGAGGCGCGAAAGCGUGGGGAGCAAACAGGA